CUUAGGUGUCUCCAACAGGACAGAAGAUCAAGACUAAACCCAGAAAUUUCUGGUUCUGUUGCUUGGUUUCUUCAACACAAUGAGAGCUAAUCUGUUUGUCGCUGCACUCUGCCUCCUGGGUACAGUAAUCCUGUGCCAAGCGGACACAACACUAACUUCAACUCCUAUCACCUCAUCUACUACAUCCACUGGUACACCCAGUACAGACUCAACUGGUGCACCCAGUACAGCCUCAACUGGUGCACCUGGAUCAACCUCAACUGGUGCACCUGGAUCAACCUCAACUGGUGCACCUGGAUCAACCUCAACAGGUGCACCCGCUUCAGCAGCCACCAGUGGACCAGGACCGACUGAGGAACCUUCAUCGGGAGGACUGUCAGGAGGAGCGAUAGCAGGCAUCACAAUAGGCACGAUUGCUGGGGUCGGCUUAUUGGGUGGUGGUAUCUACGGUCUGCUGAAGUACACUAACAAAAUCUGAGGCUAACACCAUCCAAACGAACACUUCAAGCUUCAGUAAAAUCAAAAGGACAUGUAUUAAAAUAUAUUAUAUGGUUAAAUUCUUAAACUGUAAAACCUGAUUAUUUUAACAAGUGAUUAUUUAAAAAAAAUGUUUGAUACUUUGAACGUGCCAUGACCACAAAACUGUGUAAUCUAAACUUCUCUGAUAAUUUGACCAUUGGGGUCAGGUUUCUAGCUGACUUUGAUCAAUGAAAAGAAAAUGAAGGAGAACAACUGGAAAAUGUGGCAAUUUAUGAUGUAACUAAGAAUGUUACGGAUAUUCCCAAACAGCCCAACAAACUGUUUAGCAUUGAGUGAUAGUAAGUUCUCCAGUAAAGACUAAGGGCUGAUUCACAACUAAUGUUUUGUACCACAAAUACAUCUUUUUCACAAUCUUGACACCAACUACAGAACGUGACUUCUCGCUGAAGGAUAUGAUUAUUUUAUAGUUUACAACAAAAACAUGUUUGUAGGUUAAAGCAAAUAGGUUUUUAAUGGGUACAAUACACAUUUAAACAUUGUUAAGUCUUGCUUUGCCAACCAUUUAUCUCAUACCAUUUAUGUGUAUGUAUCUAUAAUUUUUUGACUAGUUCCAAAUUAAAAUGGUCAUAUUCUGAAGUUGUUGAAAACAUUUACUUGUGCUUUUAGACAAUGAAGUUUAAUGUGUUCUAUGUAUUUGUUUCAAUGAUGUUUAGUAAGGGCUGUUUAGAUUACACUUUCAGCUGAAGAAGAAGAUGUGCCUCAAUUCUGCAUAAAUUGAUUAAAAUAA